rnacentral:rRNA from 1 species
GACGAACGCUGGCGGCGUGCUUAACACAUGCAAGUCGAACGGAAAGGCCUGCUUUCCCUUGUGGAUUGCGGGUACUCGAGUGGCGAACGGGUGAGUAACACGUGAGUGAUCUGCCCCCAACUUGGGUAUAAGCCUGGGAAACUGGGUCUAAUUCCCGAUAGGACUGCAGGGUGGUGCCUGUGGUGGAAAACGAUUUUCUAGUGGUUGGGGAUGAGCUCGCGGCCUAUCAGCUUGUUGGUGGGGUAAUGGCCUACCAAGGCGGCGACGGGUAGCCGGCCUGGGGGGGGGGAGGGGAAAAUUGGGGCGGGGAUAGGGGCCAGAAGCGGACGGGGGGGGGGGGUGGGGAAGAUUGCAAAAGGGGGGGAAGCCGGAGGGGGGGGCGCCGGGGGGGGGAGGACGGCCUUGGGGUGGUAAAGUCCUUUGGGGCGGGGGGAAGGCACCUGGUGGGAAGGGGGGGGAGGGUAGGGGUAGAAGAAGCACGGGAUAACUAGGU